rnacentral:lncRNA from 1 species
CUAGCAAACUGCAGAACUCAUUACGCUGUCCCACCUGCACCUCAUUUUGCUCCCAGCACCUUCAGCCUCUUCCUGCAGGAACCCAAGAUGACUCUAUCAGGUGGCCUUGUUUAAUAUUCGGCUCAGUCGAAGAGAAUCUAAUGAAAGCGAGCAGCUGACACGGCCUUGGUGUUCACCGCGGCUCAGCCAUCCCAGCAAGAUUUGGCAGCAGGCUCUAACACAGGGCUCCCACCGAUUGCUGCUGGGAAGUCCUGAGCUGAUGAGCAGACGAACGAAAGGCUUAGAAAAUAAGAAAAAACAAUGUCACCAGUGGCUACACGGCAAAUGGACUGAAGAGAUAAAAAUGGAAACAGGGAGAUAGGAAAAACUUACCAUAGUUCCUGUGA